rnacentral:lncRNA from 1 species
AGGAUUCACCUUGAAGCACCUCUUAACCGAGUGACCUAUAAUCUUAUAGUGUGUGCAGUAAUAAUUUUCUUGAUUGGAGCUAGAGACUCUAGGGGUUUUGUUUAAGUCUCUAAUUCUAAAAGCUAAUACUCUGUUAGGUAAAUUAUUCGGUGAUAGUUAUUUGCGUUUCUCUUCUUAUUGCACAAUUGAAUAUACUUCGUUUUAAUUUUUUUGUUUAUUUUGGACAUUAUCAAUUCACU